rnacentral:rRNA from 1 species
GUCGAACGAGAAAGUCCCCUUCGGGGGAUGAGUAAAGUGGCGCACGGGUGAGUAACACGUAGGUAAUCUACCUUCGGGUGGGGAAUAACCCAGGGAAACUUGGGCUAACACCGCAUAAUGCAGCGGCACCACAUGGUGACAGUUGUUAAAGCGGGGGAUUUUAGGACCUCGCGCCUGAAGAGGAGCCUGCGGCGGAUUAGCUAGUUGGUAGGGUAACGGCUUACCAAGGCGACGAUCCGUAACCGGCCUGAGAGGGCGGUCGGUCACACUGACACUGACAUACGGGUCAGACUCCUACGGGAGGCAGCAGUCGGGAAUUUUGGGCAAUGGGCGAAAGCCUGACCCAGCAACGCCGCGUGAAGGAUGAAAUCCCUCGGGAUGUAAACUUCGCAAGAAUAGGAAGAAUUAGUAGGGGCUAAUACCCCCUAUGAUGACGGUACUAUUUGUAAGCUCCGGCUAACUCCGUGCCAGCAGCCGCGGUAAUACGGGGGGAGCAAGCGUUGUUCGGAUUUACUGGGCGUAAAGGGCGCGUAGGCGGUAGCACAAGUCAGUUGUGAAAUCUCCGGGCUUAACUCGGAAAGGUCAACUGAUACUGUGCGACUAGAGUGCAGAAGGGGCAACUGGAAUUCUCGGUGUAGCGGUGAAAUGCGUAGAUAUCGAGAGGAACACCUGCGGCGAAGGCGGGUUGCUGGGCUGACACUGACGCUGAGGCGCGAAAGCCAGGGGAGCGAACGGGAUUAGAUACCCCGGUAGUCCUGGCCUUAAACGAUGGAUGCUUGGUGUCUGGAGUUUUAUA